rnacentral:rRNA from 1 species
GAUGAACGCUAGCUACAGGCUUAACACAUGCAAGUCGAGGGGCAGCAUUUCGCUAGCAAUAGUGAAGAUGGCGACCGGCGCACGGGUGAGUAACACGUAUCCAACCUGCCGAUAACUCGGGGGAUAGCCUUUCGAAAGAAAGAUUAAUAUCCGAUGGCAUAUUAAAACCGCAUGGUUUUACUAUUAAAGAAUUUCGGUUGUCGAUGGGGAUGCGUUCCAUUAGUUUGUUGGCGGGGUAAGUGGCCCACCAAGACUACGAUGGAUAGGGGGUUCUGAGAGGAAGGUCCCCCCACAUUGGAACUGAGACACGGUCCAAACUCCUACGGGA